UGGCGGACGGGUGAGUAAUGUCUGGGAAACUGCCUGAUGGAGGGGGAUAACUACUGGAAACGGUAGCUAAUACCGCAUAACGUCGCAAGACCAAAGAGGGGGACCUUCGGGCCUCUUGCCAUCGGAUGUGCCCAGAUGGGAUUAGCUAGUAGGUGGGGUAACGGCUCACCUAGGCGACGAUCCCUAGCUGGUCUGAGAGGAUGACCAGCCACACUGGAACCGAGACACGGUCCAG
rnacentral:rRNA from 1 species